AACUGAGUUUGUGAUCGGUCUGAGAGUUUUUGUUUAAUUAUCACAAAGGAGCAAAAUUUUAUGUUAACAGUAGCUGACAAAGCAAAAAUCGUAGCUGAGUUUGGUCGUA
rnacentral:ncRNA from 1 species